rnacentral:lncRNA from 1 species
AGUAGAUGUGAGUCGGUUGCUGUUGUUCUACCCAUUAUGCUAUGAAGUCAGCAAGAGCUUGAGACUUUAUAACUUUCUUGGCUUCGAACUUGAUGUCUCAGUAUAGCAUCUCCAUUGCCCAGUUUGCCACUCGGCCUGAUGCGUCCCGAUUGUGGAGAAUUUCCGACAACGGAGCAUCAGAUAUGACAUAUACCGAGUGGUCUUGGAAAUAAUGAGCCACCUUCUUUGCAGUCAUGUAGAU